UUGAAAUCCGUGGCCCAGUAUCAUACUGCUGUCUCAAAGAAUUAGCCAUGCAUGUCUACAAGUAAGCCGAUUUUAAGGCGAAACAGCGAAUGGUCAUUAAUCAGCUAAUGAUUCAUAUGAGAGUCUGUAACCCCACACUUACUUGGAAUAACUUGUGGGUAAUUAUCUAUGAGCUAUACAAUCACCAGUCUCUGACCGAAGGGAAGAGCGCUUUAUUAGUUUCAAUACCGGUUCGGGCCUCGGUACCGUCACCACCGUGUUGAGAUCAUCUGAAUAUGAACUUGUCGCUCGAGCGCCCGGUCUCCGCACCGGCGCCGCUCUUUCAAGUGUCUGCGUUAUAGCUUGUCGAUUGUAGGUUAUACGCCUACAUGCUAUAACGGGUAACGGGGAAUCAGGGAGUUCGAUUCCGGAGAGGAGCCUGAAGAAACGGCUACAGCAUCAUAAGGAAGGCCGCAGGCACGCAAAAAAUUACCACUCCGGCACGGGGAUGGUUAGUGACGAAAAAAUAACGAUGCGAAGACUCAUCCGAUGGCCUCCAAUCGAAAUGAGUACACUUUAAAUCCUUUACGAGGAUCUAUUGGAGGGCAAGUCUGGUGCCAAGCAGCCGUCGGUAAUUCCAGCUCCAAUAGCGUAUAUUAAUAUUUUGCGGAUUAAAAAGCUCGUUAGUUGGAUUUCAGUUCUGGGAACUGUUACUCGGUAUCACCGCCGGUGCAUACUGUCACGUCCGACAGCCCACAAAGCUCCGCUGCGUCGCACGGGGUGCUCUCAAUCGAGUGUCCCGCGUGGUUACGGACAGAGUUUACUUUGUAAAAUUUAAAUUAGAGUUGCCGAAAGCCAGGCUACACUACGGCCUGACAUGCCUAUGCAUGGAAUAAUGGAAUAGGCACCCUGCGUCUCUAUUUUGGUCCGUUUUCUGAAACCGAGGAAUGACUAGUAGGAAACAGGCGGGGGAAUUCGUUAUUUGCGACCGCUAGAGUGAAAUUCUUGGACCGUCCAAGACGAAAUUACUCCGUGCGUAAAGUGCCAUUCUGCGCCAAGGAUGUUUUUAUUAAUGCAAGAAACGAAGUUAGGGUUCGAAGGCGAUCAAGAUACCCGCUUACUAGUUCAUAUUUAACCAUAGAACGAUGCUCGACAGCGAUCGCCGGCGUGUUAUUAACCCCAUGAGACCAUCGCGCGCGCAGCUUCGGAACCAACGAAGUCUUUGGGUUCCGGGGGGAAGUAUGGUUUGCAAAGCUGAUAUAACUUAAAGGAAAUUGACGGAUGGGCACCACCAAGGAGUGGAGCCUGUCGGCUUUAAUUUUGACUUCAACAACGGGGAACCUCACCAGGCCCAGAACACGCGAAGGAUUGAACAGAUUGAGAGCUUUCUCGAUUCGGUUGGUGGUGGUGCAUGGCCGUUUCUUAGUUGGUGGAGCGGAGUUUGUCUGGUUAAUUCCGAUAACGAACGAGACUCGGCCUUACUACUAGUCGAAUCGGAUCUCCAGCAAUUGGUGUCCAAGUUCGCAGCUUUUCUUUUAGAGGGAUAUAAAGCGCAACUUUAGCCGCACGAAUAGCAAUAACAGGUCUGGGGUGGAUGCCUUAUUUGUUCUGGGCGCACGCGGGAGAUUCAUCGCUAAUCACAACUAUGAAAGGGAUCAUGUCGUGAUACGCUUCUCAUCGACAGUCACGGAUAGAGUGAUACGACGGUAUACAAUGGGGACGGUGGGCAUCAGUUCUUAUAUCCGAGUUGAUAAUACCUCCUUCAUAUUUAUGGGAAGAUUAAGAGGUGGUCCUUGAACAUUAGUUUACUUCAGAUUAGGAACACGGAGACAGCAUUUGUCCUAGUAUAGAAGCCCAGCUGGGUGCUCCGGAGAUUGAGUUAAUUAUGUAGCUUUGCGCUAUG
rnacentral:rRNA from 1 species